AAAAGUUCCAUCGCACGUUACUCCGCGUUUCGUCGAACUGAAAUUCCAGAAAUUCUGCGAGACAAAAAUUUGUUUUGUUUUUGUUUUUGUUUUUUUUUCCGCGCGUUUACGCAACGAGUAAUUUCAGAUGCGUUAGUUUCCGUUGAAAGAGUUUAUCUGGCAAACGCGCAUUUUCAAUGCGAGAACUACAGAUCACACCGAAAUGAAUCCGAGAGAGAGAUCGGGAGUUCUUUUGCUCGCAAUUGUGCUGGCAAUAGCGGCACGCAGUUAUGGCGUCGUGCGACCCAUAAAAAUCGGUGGCAUUUUUCACCAAGGUGACGAGGAUUACAUGGUUGCGUUCGUGAAAGCAAUUGCCGACACGAACAUAAAUAUGAAGUAUGAAUUCAUUGCGCCAGCAUUUGAGUUCACGAACGUUACUGUUUACAUUGAAGACCGAACUGACAGUUUCAAAACUCGCGCGGCUGUCUGCGAGCUGCUUCAGGAAGGUGUGGCGGCGAUUUUCGGACCAGCCAGUCCGUACACUCGGGGAAUAGUCGCGAGCAUUGCGGCCAGAUACGACAUACCGCAUAUCGAUUUUGUCUGGCGGGAAAACGAGGGAUCGCCGGAGGAGAGAAAUCUAUCGCCUAUGACCAUUAAUGUGUUUCCGGACAGCGAAAUGAUCAGUCAGGCUAUCGCGGAUGUGAUCGAGUCACUGGGUUGGAAAAACUUUAUCGCGAUUUACGAAGACGACGAGGGAUUAUCGCGUCUACAGAAAACGUUGACUCUGAAACGAAAAAAGGACGAUCCCAUUACAAUACGUCAGCUAAGCGAAGGACCGGAUUAUCGUUCCAUACUCAAGGAGAUACGCUCGUUGUCGGUUUGCAAUAUAAUUAUCGACGUUGAUCCCAAAAAACUCAUGGAUGUUCUCAUGCAGGCGAGGCAGGUCAAGCUGUUAGCGGAUUAUUGCAAUUUUAUAUUGACCUAUCUGGAUUCGCCCAACUUGCCUAUCUACGAUGUCAAAAGUGAAAACAUCACCACAAACAUAACUGGGCUUAGUUUAAAAGAAAACUUUGAAGAUAGUGUUGAAGGAGUUAACUGGAUGAACUCAGCGGUUCUUUACGACGCUGUGUUUUUGGUAAGCAAAGCGAUGGAAGUGUUAAACGCAAGGAUGAUCGAGGACGAUGUGCUCAUCGAUCCUUUGCAAUUAUCCUGCGACGAAAGUACCAAGUAUCAUGCAGGACCGAACAUUAGCGCCGUUAUGAAAGAAAUAUCGAAGACGGGGAAAAUGACGGGAAUGAUGGAUUUUGACGAGUUUGGUCGCCGACGAGGUUUCACCAUCAAGAUAUUUGAUUUUCGACGUCCGAAACCUGUGGAACUUGGUUCUUGGAGUCCUGAAACUAAAGUGAGCCUUAAGGAAAAUAAGGAAGAACUUGAGAUUUACUUGACCAAGUCCAUUCAAGAGAAAUUGUUUAUUAUCACCACAAGAAUAGGUGCUCCUUAUGUUAUGGAAGUUGUCGAUGGUAGCAAUCGCGGCGUUUUGAUCGAUCAGAGACGCUACGAGGGAUAUUGCAUCGAUCUGAUCGAAAAUAUUGCGAAUAUUUUACGUUUCAAAUAUCAAUUCGAACUGGUUCCCGAUGGGCAAUACGGCAAAUAUGACGACAAAAAAAAGUCAUGGAACGGACUUAUCAGGCGUCUUCUAGAUCGCGAGGCCGAUCUCGCAAUUUGCGAUCUGACGAUUACCUACGAGCGAGAGUCCGCUGUCGACUUUUCCAUGCCGUUCAUGAACUUAGGUAUCAGCAUCGUAUUUAGCAAGCCGGAAGACAAAGUACCGGAUCUUUUCAGUUUUCUCAGCCCAUUGAGCGCGGACGUUUGGAUUUACAUGGCAACAGCUUAUCUUAUCGUAUCAUUAAUGUUAUUUUUUCAAGCGAGAAUGGCACCCGCUGAAUGGGACAAUCCCCAUCCCUGCAAUGCCGAUCCCGAGGAAUUGGAAAACAACUUCGAUCUGAAGAAUAGCCUAUGGCUGACCAUCGGGUCUCUUAUGCAGCAAGGUUCUGAUAUUUUACCGAAAGCACCCAGUAUCAGAAUGUUGGCGUCCAUGUGGUGGUUCUUCACAUUGAUCAUGAUCAGCUCGUAUACGGCAAAUCUCGCUGCUUUUCUAACCGUAGCUAACAUGGACACGGUAUUCGGAAAUGUGGAAGAUCUGGCUAAGCAGACGAAGAUCAAGUACGGUUGCAUCGAAGGCGGCUCGACGUCGUCUUUCUUCGAACACUCGAAUUACUCAACUUAUCAACGGAUGUACGCCGCCAUGAAGGAAGCUAGACCGAGCGUCUUCACCAAGACCAACGAUGAGGGAGUCGACCGUGUUGUAAAAAGCAAGAGGACUUACGCAUUUCUGAUGGAGAGCACCACCAUCGAGUACAAAAUGGAACGUAACUGUGAGAUCGAGAAAAUAGGAGGCCUCAUCGACAACAAAGGAUACGGAAUAGCGCUACCUAGAAAUUCCCCGUAUCGCACUCUGAUCAACAGUGCAAUCUUGUCAUUAGGCGAAAAAGGCGUUUUGUCUACUCUGAAGAAAACAUGGUGGAUCGAGAAAGGCGGUGGAUUGUGCAAAAAAGACGAGACAGAUAGCUCAAGUUCGAGCGCAGAACUUGGACUGGCAAACGUCGGCGGUGUGUUCCUUGUAUUGAUCUGCGGUUGCGCUGCUUCGUUUGUCAUCGCUAUUUGCGAAUUUCUUUGGAACGUCCGACAGGUCGCAGUGAAGGAAAGGAUCACACCGUGGGAAGCGUUCGUAGCCGAAUUCAAAUUUGCCAUCAAUAUUUGGGCAGUAACGAAACCUGUUAAAAUCUCACAGAGCAGCGGUACGAGUUCUGUGGAGGGCAGACUCGCUAGUAGAGCAGCUAGUAGAGCAGCUUCCGCGGCUCGGUCCAUCGUCGGAUCCUUCAUGCGUCUCGACAUAAUCGAUAAAUUCGACAAGGAUCACAACACGAACAGCCGCAACAACGAUCGCAAAAUUAAUUAGAAGCUGUCAGACAAUUUGCACAUAAACACGCUUGGAAAAGUAGUGUUAUUAGACGAACAUCAAUAUUGUGAAAAAUAAAUGGGGUCGCUUUGCUAUCGCGCGUCUCUUCAUCCUCCCACCGCGUUUCUGACGUUUCUGCAGCAUCCUUUCGCACAGAGCGGCCGUGUGACGUCUGAUCGAACGAGAGAAAGAGAGAAAGAACGCGACCUUCUCUAUUUCCAUCUCUAUUCCUCUCUCUCUCGCUCUCUUUCUCCCACUUCCUCUUUGUUUCUUGUCUCCUUUCUUUCCUAUCUUUCCUCGUCUUUCUUGAAAAAGCGGUUCUCAUGCAGAACUCCCUCUUUUUCUACCACCUGCCCACGCGAUCAUUCCGAUCUUCUAUCCUUUUUACUCUCAGACGUUAAAAAUUGCAAUUUACAUUAUCUUCUCUCUUUCUCUCUCGCGUCUCCAAUUAAUUUUGUUUUCUCUCUCUCUCUCCCUCUCACAUAGUUGGAUGUUCUUCGUCUUCGUCCGAUACAUUUCGUUUCUUUCUCUCGCACGCGUGCGGUCAGAUUUGUUUCUGUCUCUCUCUCUCUCUCUCUCUCUUUCUCUCGCCGUAGCGUUCGUUCGUUUCUCUCUCCCGCCUCUUUCUCCGUCUCGCGCGCCGACGAGGCACGAA